CCGCCAUUAUGUUGGUUUUUUUUUUGCAACCGGUGGUGCCUAAGAGCACCAUUGGAAGAAAUAGGACUUGGAAACAAGUUCUCACCGGUGGUACCUAAGGGUACCUUUGGUAAAAGCUUCGGGACUUGUUUUAGUAUUGAAUGACCGGUGGUGCCUAAGGGUACCUUUGGAAAAUCAAUCCUAAAAAAUAAUAAAUCUUCUAUUGGCGUGGUUGAUACAAAUGGCUACAGUGGCACUUGUUUGUUUCGCAGUUGACAACUUCCGUGUUUCCUGCGUCGUUCAAUUCUUUUUUGUAUUUCGAAUACCAAACUUUUUCUUUGACUAGAUUUUUGACGUUGUUCAGACCGUCGUUGUUGAGGUGAGUUUUAUCUAAUUUGAAAUGGCGUCUGCCAGAAGUGAAACUGCUGACUCUUCGAUAUUUCCACUCAGCUUUUUGUUUGAAUCUGGGAGAUAUUCUUUCUGCUCUUGCUUUGACGAUAUCGUUCGUUACACUCGCUAUCUCUCUAUUUUCGUCGCGUUCAGGAAUUCCAGGACAAAGACGCUGCUGUGGGUUCUCUGGCAGGCAAAACCAAAGCGACCUGCGGGUGGAAUAUAGUCGUAUAAAUGCCUGAUGCUAGCCCCAGGGAGCGACAAGAUGUUGAGGUUUUCGGCUUCUAGGAAUCUCGUUUGGGAAUCCGCAAGGAAUGGGUACUUUGUUGGCACUUCCUUGAAUAUAUGAAACCUCGAGUAUCCAGUCAUAAAAUUUUGUUUCUAAAAUCCUCCCAUUGGAGGCCUUCCACACAAGAUUUGAGACAUCAUUAUAUAAAACACACUAUUUAAUAAGUUUAUGGCCCUAUCCAGCUUGUGUACUGACCGUAACUAAACGAAAGGGCCCUUUUUGUAAUUUAACACGUUUUUUUUUUAAAAUAAAAUCAUUGUAAUACUUAAAAAUAUGCGAACUAAUAAGCUGCAGGUUUUCCAUUUGUUUUAGUUUCUAUGGAAAAAGAAUUUGAAUGUCAAGGAUACAAACUUUGUUGUUUGUCAGAUUUAGUCAGACAUUUUGAGUCAAGUGCUCGGAUGUGUUCUCCUACAUGUUUCCGUUUUGUAUUUCGGCUUUUAGAGCUCAAUUCUGUUACAACUGAAAAUAAUUCAGUCGAACUCGUAGGAUUGAUUGGAGAUCCAACGGAUGGAAACAAUUCAAAAGUGCAAGCUAAGUUUCGCUCAGAACUAUCUUCUGUUUUACUAAUAGACUGUCUCUAUGAAACUGUUGCACGAAUUGAGUCCAAUUACCAUGGAACCACUCUGCAAUUAGACCGCGAAGUUCAUUUUAAGAAAAUGUACGAAGUUAUAGCAGAAAUAUCCUCGACUUGAUUCUUCCCGGCGAAAUGCAUGACUGAUUGUUUUUUCUAAUUGACAUGAAUAGUCGAA